rnacentral:rRNA from 1 species
CACCAGCUAAGGUCCCAAAAUAUAUGUUAAGUGGAAAAGGAUGUGGCGUUGCCCAGACAACUAGGAUGUUGGCUUAGAAGCAGCCAUCAUUUAAAGAGUGCGUAAUAGCUCACUAGUCGAGUGACACUGCGCCGAAAAUGUACCGGGGCUAAACAUAUUACCGAAGCUGUGGAUUGUCCUUUGGACAAUGGUAGGAGAGCGUUCUAAGGGCGUUGAAGCAUGAUCGUAAGGACAUGUGGAGCGCUUAGAAGUGAGAAUGCCGGUGUGAGUAGCGAAAGACGGGUGAGAAUCCCGUCCACCGAUUGACUAAGGUUUCCAGAGGAAGGCUCGUCCGCUCUGGGUUAGUCGGGUCCUAAGCUGAGGCCGACAGGCGUAGGCGAUGGAUAACAGGUUGAUAUUCCUGUACCACCUAUAAUCGUUUUAAUCGAUGGGGGGACGCAGUAGGAUAGGCGAAGCGUGCGAUUGGAUUGCACGUCUAAGCAGUAAGGCUGAGUAUUAGGCAAAUCCGGUACUCGUUAAGGCUGAGCUGUGAUGGGGAGAAGACAUUGUGUCUUCGAGUCGUUGAUUUCACACUGCCGAGAAAAGCCUCUAGAUAGAAAAUAGGUGCCCGUACCGCAAACCGACACAGGUAGUCAAGAUGAGAAUUCUAAGGUGAGCGAGCGAACUCUCGUUAAGGAACUCGGCAAAAUGACCCCGUAACUUCGGGAGAAGGGGUGCUCUUUAGGGUUAACGCCCAGAAGAGCCGCAGUGAAUAGGCCCAAGCGACUGUUUAUCAAAAACACAGGUCUCUGCUAAACCGUAAGGUGAUGUAUAGGGGCUGACGCCUGCCCGGUGCUGGAAGGUUA